UACGUGGGGUGCAAGCGUUGUCCGGAAUUAUUGGGCGUAAAGCGUCUGUAGGCUGUUUUGUCAGUCCGCUGUUUAAAUCAUCAGGCUCAACCUGGUGGCUGGCACGGAUACUGCAAGACUAGAGAAUAAGAGAGGCAAGUGGAACUCCCGGUGUAGCGGUUAUAUGCGUUUAUAUCGGGGGGAACACCAGUGGCGAAGGCGGCUUGCUGGCUUAUUUCUGACGCUGAGAGACGAAACCCUGGGUAGCGAAUGGG
rnacentral:misc_RNA from 1 species